UUAAUCUACACACAGACUGAGAUUACACAAACGGUCUGUGUAUAAACGGAUCGGUGGGUAGCUGACAUCACCGUAGACCGCUCACACCUGUUAUAUAUGGGCGGGUCCGCGCUCGGAUCAGCGCGACACGGUCUGAGCCGACUGAGGACAGCCGCUUCAGACCCGAUGGGUCAGAGACCGCCCCAUUCACGGCGAGGUCUGGACUGCACCUGCUUUAAAGCCCACAGCGGCCGGGACUUAUUACUGAACUGGAGCCGGUCAAGACGCAACACUGCAGGGUGAAUUCAUCUGGGCUGGGGGCUCCAGUUCUACAAGUGGAUCCACCCCGCCUCUAUCAGAACGUGACAGCAGGCAGGCGGUCUUUCAUACGACACGUGUCCCGGUCCGUCCAUCGGACAAGGACUCAGCGCUGAUGGACUCUUCCCUCUUCACUACUGAGGAAAUCCUGAUCUGUAACACAGCAGUAAACAGCCAUCUACACCAUUCCAAUAUGGCGUCUGACUUUGCGUACGCAACAAGCUAGCAUGAACCUGCAGUCAUGAAGCUCCUCAGAGCAGAGAAGCAGCGCGUACCUUGAUGAACCUCCCGACGAUCUGUGAGGUGUAUUUGGGCAGCGGCUGCACCUUCCCGUGGAGGAUGAGAGAAACCAGGAUGUACUUCUUAUAGGCUUCCAACAUGAUGUGACUCACCGCCAUGGCUGGAGUGGUUAUCGCCUGUGAGGAGAGAUCAGGAGAUCUAUAACAACCACACCAAACUGCUGCUGCUCCAUGAGUUACAAGAGGAAAUAAACAAAAGCGGAUCCCAAUGCAGAACUUUGAUCCAAACGGUCCUGGAGGGUCUUAGAUAAACUCACAACAAACUACAACAACACAACAGCUCCUGUGUGGUGACGGCUGUGUGGACAGACUCAGAGGAACAGGUGAGUAGCCCUACCUGUUC